GAGUUAAACUUUAAAUAAGAAAGUUUCUAAAGCGUCAAAAAAACGAUGGUUGCGAAAUGUGUUAAAAAACUUAUGUUGGUAAUGAUGAAACUGCUUAUCCUUAUUUUCCUAAAUGUGCAAGCCAGUGAUUGUGCUCCAAUUUCAUUUUAUUCUUCACCUCCCAUCCUACCUCAAUAUUCCUUUAAAAUUGAUUAUUAUGAACCACUACAUCAGUGCCUUAGACUUGGAGUUGAAUUUCAUUGUCCAAGAAUUAAAAGCACAUGGCCAUUUCCAGACUUUACAUAUGAAAUUUGUAUUUCCGCUACUUUUCACCAAUGUUUAGCUAAUAAUAUGCAAGAAAAAUCAGGUGUGUUUAUUAUCACUAAAAGUUGUGUCAAAGCCAAUUGCCACCCAAAAUUGAAAAUUAGAGCUAGUCAUCGUAGAAGUGCCAGUUAUGUGAGUUGUUUAUUGGAAUGUUAUAAAAAGUAUGUCAGGAAACCCUCAAAUGUCAUUUAUACGCAGAAGCCUUGAGUUUUAGCUUUUAAUCAGCUGUUUUUUAGGAAGUAUCCAUAUCCUUCUUGCCUUCACUGCUGGAUUCUUCUAUGAUAGGACGUCAAGAUGGUAGCAUGCUAGCUCAAGCAUCUGAAUUACAACUGGUACCAAUGUGAUUUUUCCAGAGCAUGGUUGCUGCUGUUGUCCUUGAAGGCAAAAGUUUGCCAUGCAUUACCGCCAAGUGGAGUGGCCCUUCUCUUGGCUUUGUGCCAAUUUUCAAACGGAUUGAGCCAUCGUUUUGACUCUUUCUUACUAGUUUCUAGUUUUUAUUUUUUUUAUUUUUUUUUAUCUCCCCCUUCCUUUUGUUCACCUGUAUUGCUUAGAAAAAAAAAAAUUGUUUUGUUUGUUCAUUUCCUUUUUUGUUUCUUAUUUUUGAAAAAAUGAUAUUCAUCGUAUUAAAGGCAAUGUAUGAAUUAAUCCAAUAAACCUAGCAUUUUUCAUUUCUUUCA